AGGACGAACGCUGGCGGCGCGCUUAACACAUGCAAGUCGAGCGAGAACCAGGACUUCGGUCCUGGGGACAGCGGCGAACGGGUGAGUAACACGUGGGUAAUCUGCCCUCGAUUCUGGGAUAGCCCGGGGAAACCCGGAUUAAUACCGGAUAGCCUUUCGAGCUUUCGGGCGCGAAAGAAAAGGUAGCUUCGGCCUCCGAUCGAGGAUGAGCCCGCGGUGGAUUAGCUUGUUGGCGGGGUAAUGGCCCACCAAGGCGACGAUCCAUAGCUGGUCUGAGAGGACGAUCAGCCACACUGGGACUGAGACACGGCCCAGACUCCUACGGGAGGCAGCAGUGGGGAAUCUUGCGCAAUGGGCGAAAGCCUGACGCAGCGACGCCGCGUGGGGGAAGAAGGCCUUAGGGUUGUAAACCUCUUUCAGGUGGGACGAAGCCACUCGGGUUAAUAGCCCAGAGGGUGACGGUACCGCCAGAAGAAGCCCCGGCUAACUACGUGCCAGCAGCCGCGGUAA
rnacentral:rRNA from 1 species